CCUACGGGUGGCAGCAGUGAGGAAUAUUGGUCAAUGGGCGCGAGCCUGAACCAGCCAAGUAGCGUGAAGGAUGACUGCCCUACGGGUUGUAAACUUCUUUUAUAAAGGAAUAAAGUGAGGCACGUGUGCCUUUUUGUAUGUACUUUAUGAAUAAGGAUCGGCUAACUCCGUGCCAGCAGCCGCGGUAAUACGGAGGAUCCGAUCGUUAUCCGGAUUUAUUGGGUUUAAAGGGAGCGUAGAGUGGUUGUUAAGUCAGUUGUGAUAUUUUGCGGCUCAACCGUAAAAUGGCAAUUGAUACUGGCAGCCUUGAGUACAUUUGAGGAAGGCGGAAUUCGUGGUGUAGCGGUGAAAUGCUUAGAUAUCACGAAGAACUCCGAUUGCGAAGGCAGCUUACUAAACUGCCACUGACAUUGAUGCUCGAAAGUGUGGGUAUCAAACAGGAUUAGAGACCCGAGUAGUC
rnacentral:rRNA from 1 species